rnacentral:lncRNA from 1 species
GAAAAGAGAUCUGACCUCCAAACUCAUGGAAAAUGAGUAUUCUCUUAUGUCCCCUCCCCCGGAACAAGAAGAAAUGUAAAAAUAAAAAUAAAAGGCUAAAGGAAGGCCAGGACAAUAAAAAGAGAAAUUAAAUUGUGCGGUUGCACACCAAGGAGACACCAGCUGUUUUUGACAGGGCAAGAAGCAGACACCAUGGCUGCCAGCAGGGUGCAGCAAACUCUCUUGCCCCAGUUCCUAGGCCCAUAACCAAUGUCUCUGAGGAGAGAUAAAGAGAAGUCUUCCCAUGCAUUGCCUCACGGAAAGGCUCAGAAAACUCUCAUUGCCUGAACUUCCCACACAUGUACCUGUGUGACCUUAGGGAACAUAAGAUGACCGGUGAAAGACCUUGCCAAGAUUGCACCCUGGGGACCUUCCUCUAGAAGGUUGUGACAAACACUCCCUUCCAGGAAUGACCCAGCAAAAUAAGCUUUAUGAGGAGGAAGCCCCGACAGCAAGGCAGGUGCAGAUAACAACCAAAAAUGUUUCAGUUCCCUCUUCUGGUGACUAAGACCUCACCUCACCUGGGGCCACAAAUGCUGAGAAAGGUCAGUGCUGGCCACCAAUGGGCUUAAACCAACUCAUGCUGUUACCAAAGUCUACCCUCAAACUGUAUAAAAAGUGUGUGCUUAAGAUGUUCAGGGUCACCUCUGCCCCAAUUGCAGGACAGCCCCAGGAUGCUGGAUCAAUAAACCUCUUUCUUGCUUGUUGCAUCUAUCUCCAUCUCUGUGUCUAUGAGUGGGACAUCCUGGAUGUAAGGCUCUUCAGAUCUUACAUACCCACCUCCACCCUUCUAGACAAGCACAGCAACUUUAACUCAUGUUAGCACU